rnacentral:rRNA from 1 species
GGACAACCUACCCUUUGGACGGGGAUAAACCCGGGAAACUGGGUAUAAUACCCGAUAGAUCUCAUUGGCUGGAAUGCCUUGAGCUCGAAAGCUCCGGCGCCAAAGGAUGGGUCUGCGGCCUAUCAGGUAGUAGUGGGUGUAGUGUACCUACUAGCCUACGACGGGUACGGGUUGUGAGAGCAAGAGCCCGGAGAUGGAUUCUGAGACACGAAUCCAGGCCCUACGGGGUGCAGCAGGCGCGAAAAACUUUACAAUGCUGGCAACAGCGAUAAGGGAACCUCGAGUGCCAGGUUACAAAUCUGGCUGUCGUUGUGUCUAAAAAACACGAUAUAGCAAGGGCCGGGCAAGACCGGUGCCAAGCCGCCGCGGUAACACCGGCGGCUCGAGUGGUAACCGUUAUUAUUGGGUCUAAAAGGGUCUGUAGCCGGCCGGAUAAGUCUCUUGGGAAAUCCGGCAGCUUAACUGUCC